rnacentral:rRNA from 1 species
UACAGAGGGUGCAAGCGUUGUUCGGAAUUAUUGGGCGUAAAGCGCGUGUAGGCGGCUUUGCAAGUCGGGUGUGAAAGCCCUCAGCUUAACUGAGGAAGUGCGCCCGAAACUGCAGAGCUUGAGUACUGGAGAGGAUGGCGGAAUUCCCCAAGUAGAGGUGAAAUUCGUAGAUAUGGGGAGGAACACCGGUGGCGGAGGCGGCCAUCUGGACAGAUACUGACGCUGAGACGCGAAAGCGUGGGUAGCAAACAGG